UGGGAAUUUUGGACAAUUGGGCGAAAGCCUGAUCCAGCAAUGCCGCGUGUGUGAAGAAGGCCUUCGGGUUGUAAAGCACUUUUGUCCGGAAAGAAAUCCUUGGCUCUAAUACAGUCGGGGGAUGACGGUACCGGAAGAAUAAGCACCGGCUAACUACGUGCCAGCAGCCGCGGUAAUACGUAGGGUGCAAGCGUUAAUCGGAAUUACUGGGCGUAAAGCGUGCGCAGGCGGUUUGCUAAGACCGAUGUGAAAUCCCCGGGCUCAACCUGGGAACUGCAUUGGUGACUGGCAGGCUAGAGUAUGGCAGAGGGGGGUUAGAAUUCCCACGUGUAGCAGUGAAAUGCGUAGAGAUGUGGAGGAAUACCGAUGGCGAAGGCAGCCCCCUGGGCCAAUACUGACGCUCAUGCACGAAAGCGUGGGGAGCAAAACAGGAUUAGAUACCCCUGGUAGUCCACGCCCUAAAACGAUGUCAACUAGUUGUUGGGGAAUUCAUUUUCCUUAGUAACGUAGCUAACGCGUGAAGUUGACCGCCUGGGGAGUACGUCGCAAGAUUAAAACUCAAAUGAAUUGNCGGGG
rnacentral:rRNA from 1 species